ACCUCGAUGUCGGCUCAUCACAUCCUGGGGCUGAAGUAGGUCCCAAGGGUAUGGCUGUUCGCCAUUUAAAGUGGUACGCGAGCUGGGUUUAGAACGUCGUGAGACAGUUCGGUCCCUAUCUGCCGUGGGCGCUGGAGAAUUGAGGGGGGCUGCUCCUAGUACGAGAGGACCGGAGUGGACGCAUCACUGGUGUUCGGGUUGUCAUGCCAAUGGCACUGCCCGGUAGCUAAAUGCGGAAGAGAUAAGUGCUGAAAGCAUCUAAGCACGAAACUUGCCCCGAGAUGAGUUCUCCCUGAGACYUURAGUCUCCUGAAGGAACGUUGAAGACGACGACGUUGAUAGGUCGGGUGUGUAAGCGCAGCGAUGCGUUGAGCUAACCGAUACUAAUGAACCGUGAGGCUUAACCUU
rnacentral:rRNA from 1 species